rnacentral:rRNA from 1 species
AGUAAUGCAUAGGAAACUGCCCAGUAGUGGGGGAUAGCCCGGGGAAACCCGGAUUAAUACCGCGCACGCCCUUCGGGGGAAAGCAGGGGAUCUUCGGACCUUGCGCUAUUGGAUGUGCCUAUGUCGGAUUAGCUAGUUGGUGGGGUAAAGGCCUACCAAGGCGACGAUCCGUAGCUGGUCUGAGAGGAUGAUCAGCCACAUCGGGACUGAGACACGGCCCGAACUCCUACGGGAGGCAGCAGUGGGGAAUAUUGGACAAUGGGGGCAACCCUGAUCCAGCCAUGCCGCGUGUGUGAAGAAGGCUUUCGGGUUGUAAAGCACUUUCAGCGAGGAGGAAAACUCUGCGACUAAUACUCGUAGGGCUUGACGUUACUCACAGAAGAAGCACCGGCUAACUCCGUGCCAGCAGCCGCGGUAAUACGGAGGGUGCAAGCGUUAAUCGGAAUUACUGGGCGUAAAGCGCGCGUAGGUGGUUUGAUAAGCGAGAUGUGAAAGCCCCGGGCUUAACCUGGGAACGGCAUUUCGAACUGUCAGGCUAGAGUAUGGUAGAGGGUAGUGGAAUUUCCUGUGUAGCGGUGAAAUGCGUANAUAUAGGAAGGAACACCAGUGGCGAANGCGGCUACCUGGACCAAUACUGACACUGAGGUGCGAAAGCGUGGGGAGCAAACAGG